rnacentral:rRNA from 1 species
CAGGCCUAACACAUGCAAGUCGAACGGACCUUUCGGGGUUAGUGGCGGACGGGUGAGUAACACGUGGGAACGUGCCCUUAGGUUCGGAAUAAGCCCGGGAAACUGGGUCUAAUACCGGAUGUGCCCUUUUGGGGAAAGAUUUAUCGCCUUUGGAGCGGCCCGCGUCUGAUUAGCUAGUUGGUGAGGUAAAGGCUCACCAAGGCGACGAUCAGUAGCUGGUCUGAGAGGAUGAUCAGCCACACUGGGACUGAGACACGGCCCAGACUCCUACGGGAGGCAGCAGUGGGGAAUCUUGCGCAAUGGGCGAAAGCCUGACGCAGCCAUGCCGCGUGUAUGAUGAAGGUCUUAGGAUUGUAAAAUACUUUCACCGGUGAAGAUAAUGACUGUAGCCGGAGAAGAAGCCCCGGCUAACUUCGUGCCAGCAGCCGCGGUAAU